rnacentral:rRNA from 1 species
CAGCGAAAUGCGAUACCUAGUGUGAAUUGCAGAAUUCCGCGAAUCAUCGAGUCUUUGAACGCAAGUUGCGCCCGAGGCUUGUCCCGAGGGCAUGCCUGCCUGAGCGUCACCGCACUCCCACCCGACGCGACGAACCCUCGUCGUGCGUGGAAAUGGCCGUCCGGGGUCGGGCGUCGAUGCCCAGCGCCGCGGUCGGCUGAAAUGGAGCGUUCUGGACGUAGCCGGAGAGGGGGAUUGCGAGAAGGUGAUCCGUCCUCUGGGCGGAGUCUAUUUUGACAGCGUCCCUCGAUCCGGGAGGUCUCACGGAACUCGGAGCGGGAGCUCGCCCGGUCGAUCGCUCGCGGUCGGUCGGGCGAGUCACACCACUGCUUGGACCUCAGAUCAGGCAAGAUUACCCGCUGAGUUUAAGCAUAUCACU